CUGCGGCUUAUCAGGUUGUAGUGAGGGUAACGUCCUCACUAGCCUAUGACGGGUACGGGCCCUGAGAGGGGAAGCCCGGAGAUGGACUCUGAGACACGAGUCCAGGCCCUACGGGGCGCAGCAGGCGCGAAAACUCCGCAAUGCUCGAAAGAGUGACGGGGGGAUUCCAAGUGCCUACGCUCAGCGUAGGCUGUUCAGAUGCCUAAAAAGCAUCUGGAGUAAGGGCUGGGUAAGACGGGUGCCAUCUGUGGCAGCAGCCGAAAAUUUGGCUUGCUACUGCAAGGCAUAAGCCGCCGCGGUAAUACCCGCAGCUCGAGUGGUAGUCGAUUUUAUUGGGCCUAAAGCGUCCGUAUCCGGUCUGGUAAAUGCUUGGGUAAAUCGUCUGGCUUAACCAGAUGAAUUCCGGGUAGACUACCAGACUUGGGACCGGUUGAGGAAGAGGGUACUUCAGGGGUAGGAGUGAAAUCCUGUAAUCCUUGAAGGACCACCAGUGGCGAAGGCGCUCUUCUAGGACGGGUCCGACGGUGAGGGACGAAAGCCAGGGGAGCAAACCGGAUUAGAUACCCGGGUAGUCCUGGCCGUAAACGAUGUGGGCUUGGCAUUGGGGGUUCUACGUGAGCGCCCAGUGUCGUAGCGAAGGCGU
rnacentral:rRNA from 1 species